rnacentral:rRNA from 1 species
CGGAAGGGGAGUGAAAUAGAACCUGAAACCGUGUGCUUACAAGUAGUCAGAGCCCGUUAAUGGGUGAUGGCGUGCCUUUUGUAGAAUGAACCGGCGAGUUACGAUUUGAUGCAAGGUUAAGCAGUAAAUGUGGAGCCGUAGCGAAAGCGAGUCUGAAUAGGGCGUUUAGUAUUUGGUCGUAGACCCGAAACCAGGUGAUCUACCCUUGGUCAGGUUGAAGUUCAGGUAACACUGAAUGGAGGACCGAACCGACUUACGUUGAAAAGUGAGCGGAUGAACUGAGGGUAGCGGAGAAAUUCCAAUCGAACCUGGAGAUAGCUGGUUCUCUCCGAAAUAGCUUUAGGGCUAGCCUCAAGUGAUGAUUAUUGGAGGUAGAGCACUGUUUGGACGAGGGGCCCCUCUCGGGUUACCGAAUUCAGACAAACUCCGAAUGCCAAUUAAUUUAACUUGGGAGUCAGAACAUGGGUGAUAAGGUCCGUGUUCGAAAGGGAAACAGCCCAGACCACCAGCUAAGGUCCCAAAAUAUAUGUUAAGUGGAAAAGGAUGUGGCGUUGCCCAGACAACUAGGAUGUUGGCUUAGAAGCAGCCAUCAUUUAAAGAGUGCGUAAUAGCUCACUAGUCGAGUGACACUGCGCCGAAAAUGUACCGGGGCUAAACAUAUUACCGAAGCUGUGGAUUGUCCUUUGGACAAUGGUAGGAGAGCGUUCUAAGGGCGUUGAAGCAUGAUCGUAAGGACAUGUGGAGCGCUUAGAAGUGAGAAUGCCGGUGUGAGUAGCGAAAGACGGGUGAGAAUCCCGUCCACCGAUUGACUAAGGUUUCCAGAGGAAGGCUCGUCCGCUCUGGGUUAGUCGGGUCCUAAGCUGAGGCCGACAGGCGUAGGCGAUGGAUAACAGGUUGAUAUUCCUGUACCACCUAUAAUCGUUUUAAUCGAUGGGGGGACGCAGUAGGAUAGGCGAAGCGUGCGAUUGGAUUGCACGUCUAAGCAGUAAGGCUGAGUAUUAGGCAAAUCCGGUACUCGUUAAGGCUGAGC